GAUGAACGCUAGCGGGAGGCCUAACACAUGCAAGCCGGGCGGUAGAGAUCUUUCGGGAUCUUGAGAGCGGCGUACGGGUGCGGAACACGUGUGCAACCUGCCUUUAUCAGGGGGAUAGCCUUUCGAAAGGAAGAUUAAUACCCCAUAAUAUAUUGAAUGGCAUCAUUUGAUAUUGAAAACUCCGGUGGAUAGAGAUGGGCACGCGCAAGAUUAGAUAGUUGGUAGGGUAACGGCCUACCAAGUCAGUGAUCUUUAGGGGGCCUGAGAGGGUGAUCCCCCACACUGGUACUGAGACACGGACCAGACUCCUACGGGAGGCAGCAGUGAGGAAUAUUGGACAAUGGGUGAGAGCCUGAUCCAGCCAUCCCGCGUGAAGGACGACGGCCCUAUGGGUUGUAAACUUCUUUUGUAUAGGGAUAAACCUUUCCACGUGUGGAAAGCUGAAGGUACUAUGCGAAUAAGCACCGGCUAACUCCGUGCCAGCAGCCGCGGUAAUACGGAGGGUGCAAGCGUUAUCCGGAUUUAUUGGGUUUAAGGGGUCCGUAGGCGGAUCUGUAAGUCAGUGGUGAAAUCUCAUAGCUUAACUAUGAAACUGCCAUUGAUACUGCAGGUCUUGAGUAAAGUAGAAGUGGCUGGAAUAAGUAGUGUAGCGGUGAAAUGCAUAGAUAUUACUUAGAACACCAAUUGCGAAGGCAGGUCACUAUGUUUUAACUGACGCUGAUGGACGAAAGCGUGGGGAGCGAACAGGAUUAGAUACCCUGGUAGUCCACGCCGUAAACGAUGCUAACUCGUUUUUGGGUCUUCGGAUUCAGAGACUAAGCGAAAGUGAUGAGUUAGCCACCUGGGGAGUACGUUCGCAAGAAUGAAACUCAAAGGAAUUGACGGGGGCCCGCACAAGCGGUGGAUUAUGUGGUUUAAUUCGAUGAUACGCGAGGAACCUUACCAAGGCUUAAAUGGGAAUUGACAGGUUUAGAAAUAGACUUUUCUUCGGACAAUUUUCAAGGUGCUGCAUGGUUGUCGUCAGCUCGUGCCGUGAGGUGUUAGGUUAAGUCCUGCAACGAGCGCAACCCCUGUCACUAGUUGCCAUCAUUCAGUUGGGGACUCUAGUGAGACUGCCUACGCAAGUAGAGAGGAAGGUGGGGAUGACGUCAAAUCAUCACGGCCCUUACGCCUUGGGCCACACACGUAAUACAAUGGCCGGUACAGAGGGCAGCUACCUAGCGAUAGGAUGCGAAUCUCGAAAGCCGGUCUCAGUUCGGAUUGGAGUCUGCAACUCGACUCUAUGAAGCUGGAAUCGCUAGUAAUCGCAUAUCAGCCAUGAUGCGGUGAAUACGUUCCCGGGCCU
rnacentral:rRNA from 1 species